rnacentral:rRNA from 1 species
GAUGAACGCUAGCUACAGGCUUAACACAUGCAAGUCGAGGGGAAACGACAUCGAAAGCUUGCUUUUGAUGGGCGUCGACCGGCGCACGGGUGAGUAACGCGUAUCCAACCUGCCCAUCACUUGGGAAUAACCUUGCGAAAGUAAGACUAAUACCCAAUGAUAUCCCACGAAGGCAUCGGAAUGGGAUUAAAGAUUUAUCGGUGAUGGAUGGGGAUGCGUCUGAUUAGCUUGUUGGCGGGGUAACGGCCCACCAAGGCAACGAUCAGUAGGGGUUCUGAGAGGAAGGUCCCCCACAUUGGAACUGAGACACGGUCCAAACUCCUACGGGAGGCAGCAGUGAGGAAUAUUGGUCAAUGGGCGAGAGCCUGAACCAGCCAAGUAGCGUGCAGGAAGACGGCCCUAUGGGUUGUAAACUGCUUUUAUAAGGGAAUAAAGUGGGUCACGUGUGACUUUUUGCAUGUACCUUAUGAAUAAGGACCGGCUAAUUCCG